UACAGAUUCCUCUCCCAAGUAUUAGCAGGGGUAGUCGCUCCGGACGAUCAGGAGAAAGGAGCUGAGGUCCAUGCACAUAAUGACAUUGCUCUUUAUAUAUAAAAAAAGAGUGACAUUUCUGAAUCUUUUUAUGUGAUAAUUAUUGGUCUAUAGCUGUGCAUUGCUUACCUCCUUUUCUUUUUGUAGUUGUGCAUUGCUUAUCUAACAUUAUGUAGUUGUAUAACUGAUGUAACAGAUUACAAACUAGAGGUGGGGCUACCGAGGUUGGGAGGGGGACCGGUGAAACUCAACUGUAACGUUUGCGCGGAUGCGCAACAUGAUUUAGAUAGCCAAGACGGGGGAGGUUCUUAAGAGUCGAGGAUGAUGAUUAGAGGUACUCUAUGAAGUAUGAGAAGGAUGGGGAGAUGGAGAGAGUCCUCAAGAAGACUGCGCUGAUUGGGAAGUUAGAGGUAGAAGAAAAUGUUCAGAGGACAACAACUGAAUAAAAUUCGUUUUGAACUGCUUUGGCAUACCCCUUGUGGGUAAUUUCUACUACAUUGAAGUUCUGCAUCAUAUCCAUUGUCUUUGCAUAUACAUGAUUGUGUGGAACUUGCGAGACUGAUUCACGUUGCAUUGGUUUCUUAAUUCUACUUUGAUCAAUACUAUUAUCAUACUUGAUUAAUUAUUAACUUACUGAAUUCUAUUCUCGUAAAGGUAAUGAGGUAGGCGCUGGGGAAUAAUUUAUGUGCGUACUAUGUUUGCGAGAACAUUCGCAUGACGACGUCCGAAAGGAGCACAUCGGACAAAGCACUUUGGGUACGUU
rnacentral:lncRNA from 1 species